rnacentral:rRNA from 1 species
CGAUAGUGAACCAGUACCGUGAGGGAAAGGUGAAAAGCACACCCGGGAGGGGAGUGAAAUAGAACCUGAAACCGUGUGCCUACAACAAGUUCGAGCCCGUUAAUGGGUGAGAGCGUGCCUUUUGUAGAAUGAACCGGCGAGUUACGUUAUGAUGCGAGGUUAAGUUGAAGAGACGGAGCCGUAGGGAAACCGAGUCUGAAUAGGGCGCCUUAGUAUCAUGACGUAGACCCGAAAACCAUGUGACCUACCCAUGAGCAGGUUGAAGGUGCGGUAAGACGCACUGGAGGACCGAACCAGGGCACGUUGAAAAGUGCUUGGAUGACUUGUGGGUAGCGGAGAAAUUCCAAACGAACUUGGAGAUAGCUGGUUCUCUCCGAAAUAGCUUUAGGGCUAGCGUCGACAUUAGAGAUUCUUGGAGGUAGAGCACUGUUUGGGUGAGGGGUCCAUCCCGGAUUACCAAUCUCAGAUAAACUCCGAAUGCCAAUGAAUUAUGGUCGGCAGUCAGACUGCGAGUGCUAAGAUCCGUAGUCGAAAGGGAAACAGCCCAGACCACCAGCUAAGGUCCCAAAAUAAUUGUUAAGUGGAAAAGGAUGUGGGGUUGCACAGACAACUAGGAUGUUAGCUUAGAAGCAGCUAUUCAUUCAAAGAGUGCGUAAUAGCUCACUAGUCGAGUGACCCUGCGCCGAAAAUGUACCGGGGCUAAAACAAUUUACCGAAGCUGUGGAUACCUUUAUAGGUAUGGUAGGAGAGCGUUCUAUGUGUGAUGAAGGUAUACCGUGAGGAGUGCUGGAACGCAUAGAAGUGAGAAUGCCGGUAUGAGUAGCGAAAGACAGGUGAGAAUCCUGUCCACCGUAAGACUAAGGUUUCCAGGGGAAGGCUCGUCCGCCCUGGGUUAGUCGGGACCUAAGGAGAGACCGAAAGGUGUAUCCGAUGGACAACAGGUUGAUAUUCCUGUACUAGAGUAUGUAGUGAUGGAGGGACGCAGUAGGCUAACUAAAGCAGACGAUUGGAAGAGUCUGUCUAAGCAGUGAGGUGUGAUAUGAGUCAAAUGCUUAUAUCUGUAACAUUGAGCUGUGAUGGGGAGCGAAGUUUAGUAGCGAAGUUAGUGACGUCACACUGCCAAGAAAAGCUUCUAGCGUUUAAACAUACUCUACCCGUACCGCAAACCGACACAGGUAGUCGAGGCGAGUAGCCUCAGGUGAGCGAGAGAACUCUCGUUAAGGAACUCGGCAAAAUGACCCCGUAACUUCGGGAGAAGGGGUGCUGACUUUAAGUCAGCCGCAGUGAAUAGGCCCAAGCAACUGUUUAUCAAAAACACAGCUCUCUGCUAAAUCGUAAGAUGAUGUAUAGGGGGUGACGCCUGCCCGGUGCUGGAAGGUUAAGAGGAGUGCUUAGCGUAAGCGAAGGUAUGAAUUGAAGCCCCAGUAAACGGCGGCCGUAACUAUAACGGUCCUAAGGUAGCGAAAUUCCUUGUCGGGUAAGUUCCGACCCGCACGAAAGGCGUAAUGAUUUGGGCACUGUCUCAACGAGAGACUCGGUGAAAUUUUAGUACCUGUGAAGAUGCAGGUUACCCGCGACAGGACGGAAAGACCCCAUGGAGCUUUACUGCAGUUUGAUAUUGAGUGUCUGUACCACAUGUACAGGAUAGGUAGGAGUCUAAGAGAUCGGGACGCCAGUUUCGAAGGAGACGCUGUUGGGAUACUACCCUUGUGUUAUGGCCACUCUAACCCAGAUAGGUGAUCCCUAUCGGAGACAGUGUCUGACGGGCAGUUUGACUGGGGCGGUCGCCUCCUAAAAGGUAACGGAGGCGCCCAAAGGUUCCCUCAGAAUGGUUGGAAAUCAUUCGCAGAGUGUAAAGGUAUAAGGGAGCUUGACUGCGAGAGCUACAACUCGAGCAGGGACGAAAGUCGGGCUUAGUGAUCCGGUGGUUCCGUAUGGAAGGGCCAUCGCUCAACGGAUAAAAGCUACCCUGGGGAUAACAGGCUUAUCUCCCCCAAGAGUUCACAUCGACGGGGAGGUUUGGCACCUCGAUGUCGGCUCGUCGCAUCCUGGGGCUGUAGUCGGUCCCAAGGGUUGGGCUGUUCGCCCAUUAAAGCGGCACGCGAGCUGGGUUCAGAACGUCGUGAGACAGUUCGGUCCCUAUCCGUCGCGGGCGUAGGAAAUUUGAGAGGAUCUGCUCCUAGUACGAGAGGACCAGAGUGGACUUACCGCUGGUGUACCAGUUGUCUUGCCAAAGGCAUCGCUGGGUAGCUAUGUAGGGAAGGGAUAAACGCUGAAAGCAUCUAAGUGUGAAACCCACCUCAAGAUGAGAUUUCCCAUGAUUAUAUAUCAGUAAGAGCCCUGAGAGAUGAUCAGGUAGAUAGGUUAGAAGUGGAAGUGUGGCGACACAUGUAGCGGACUAAUACUAAUAGCUCGAGGACUUAUCCAAA